rnacentral:rRNA from 1 species
AGAGUUUGAUCCUGGCUCAGGACGAACGCUGGCGGCGUGCUUAACACAUGCAAGUCGAACGGAAAGGCCCCUUCGGGGGUACUCGAAUGGCGAACGGGUGAGUAACACGUGGGUAAUCUGCCCUGCACUUCGGGAUAAGCCUGGGAAACUGGGUCUAAUACCGGAUAUGACCACGAGGCGCAUGCCUUGUGGUGGAAAGCUUUUGCGGUGUGGGAUGGGCCCGCGGCCUAUCAGCUUGUUGGUGGGGUGACGGCCUACCAAGGSGACGACGGGUAGCCGGCCUGAGAGGGUGUCCGGCCACACUGGGACUGAGAUACGGCCCAGACUCCUACGGGAGGCAGCAGUGGGGAAUAUUGCACAAUGGGCGCAAGCCUGAUGCAGCGACGCCGCGUGGGGGAUGACGGCCUUCGGGUUGUAAACCUCUUUCAGCAGGGACGAAGCGCAAGUGACGGUACCUGCAGAAGAAGCACCGGCCAACUACGUGCCAGCAGCCGCGGUAAUACGUAGGGUGCGAGCGUUGUCCGGAAUUACUGGGCGUAAAGAGCUCGUAGGUGGUUUGUCGCGUUGUUCGUGAAAACCGGGGGCUUAACCCUCGGCGUGCGGGCGAUACGGGCAGACUGGAGUACUGCAGGGGAGACUGGAAUUCCUGGUGUAGCGGUGGAAUGCGCAGAUAUCAGGAGGAACACCGGUGGCGAAGGCGGGUCUCUGGGCAGUAACUGACGCUGAGGAGCGAAAGCGUGGGGAGCGAACAGGAUUAGAUACCCUGGUAGUCCACGCCGUAAACGGUGGGUACUAGGUGUGGGUUUCCUUCCUUGGAAUCCGUGCCGUAGCUAACGCAUUAAGUACCCCGCCUGGGGAGUACGGCCGCAAGGCUAAAACUCAAAGGAAUUGACGGGGGCCCGCACAAGCGGCGGAGCAUGUGGAUUAAUUCGAUGCAACGCGAAGAACCUUACCUGGGUUUGACAUGCACAGGACGCCGGCAGAGAUGUCGGUUCCCUUGUGGCCUGUGUGCA